ACGGGGGGAACGCGAAGAACCUUACCAACCCUUGACAUGGGUAUCGCGGGACCAGAGAUGGUCCUUUCAGUUCGGCUGGAUACCACACAGGUGCUGCAUGGCUGUCGUCAGCUCGUGUCGUGAGAUGUUCGGUUAAGUCCGGCAACGAGCGCAACCCACAUUUUUAGUUGCCAGCAUUCAGUUGGGCACUCUAGAAAAACUGCCGGUGAUAAGCCGGAGGAAGGUGUGGAUGACGUCAAGUCCUCAUGGCCCUUACGGGUUGGGCUACACACGUGCUACAAUGGUGGUGACAAUGGGUUAAUCCCAAAAAGCCAUCUCAGUUCGGAUUGGGGUCUGCAACUCGACCCCAUGAAGUCGGAAUCGCUAGUAAUCGC
rnacentral:rRNA from 1 species